rnacentral:lncRNA from 1 species
AUGAAGGGAAUAGGUCGGGUGCCAUUUUGUGGAUUCAGCCUGUGUGUUGCAGCAGCUCUCUCGUCGUUUCCUGACUUCAACCACUCUAUUCCUGUAGUUCUGUUCUGUCUCCUGUCGCCAUUCAUUCAGAAAAUCCUUCCCAUGCUUUUUGGUGUUGCAUCCUUCCCAUGCUUUUUGGUGUUGCAUCCUUCCCAUGCUUUUUGGUGCUGCAUCCUUCCCAUGCUUUUUGGUGUUGUAUCCUUCCCAUGCUUUUUGGUGUUGCAUCCUUCCCAUGCUUUUUGGUGUUGCAUCCUUCCCAUGCUUUUUGGUGCUGCAUCCUUCCCAUGCUUUUUGGUGUUGCAUCCUUCCCAUGCUUUUUGGUGUUGCAUCCUUCCCAUGCUUUUUGGUGUUGCAUCCUUCCCAUGCUUUUUGGUGCUGCAUCCUUCCCAUGCUUUUUGGUGCUGCAUCCUUCCCAUGCUUGUUGGUGUUGUAUCCUUCCCAUGCUUGUUGGUGUUGUAUCCUUCCCAUGCUUGUUGGUGUUGUAUCCUUCCCAUGCUUGUUGGUGUUGUAUCCUUCCCAUGCUUGUUGGAGUUGUAUCCUUCCCAUGCUUGUUGGUGUUGUAUCCUUCCCAUGCUUGUUGGUGUUGGUGUUGUAUCCUUCCCAUGCUUGUUGGAGUUGUAUCCUUUCCAUGCUUGUUGGAGUUGUAUCCUUCCCAUGCUUGUUGGAGUUGUAUCCUUCCCAUGCUUGUUGGUGUUGUAUUUGCUUGUUGUUUCCUUUGGGUCUAUAGAGGAGCUAUUUCUUCACAAUAUCAACCUUCUGAAGUGGCUGGUUAUAUGA